AUCAACGUCAUGAAUAUUAAAAUCAUUUGACCACAAAUUUUACACCAAAACAUACAAAAUCCUUAGAAGGUUUGUUGUGAGCAAAAUAAAGAGAGCCUACGAUAUUACAUUUUUCCUUUGGCUAAUCAAAAGAGAAAUCCUCCAUGUUCGGCAUAGAGCAACAUAUUCAUACCGUGAGUCAGCCUCUUAGCAAAUAUCUGAGGUAUAGUUUUAAGAAGUGGAAACUUAAGUACUCUCAUUUAAAAACUCAAUUGCCUCAUUGAUAAAGUUAUUGUCUUCAUAGCUCACUAUCAAGUAUACAGUAGCUCGCUCUUUGAAACACACCUGUGGUCAUUCCAUCGGUUUCCUAAUAAUAUUCUGCGUAAAUUAAGGGAAUAUUUUAAUGCACAUUGGCAUCAUUGGCUUGGUUCUACUGGUAAAUGUAUCAAAACACUUAAGAGGUGUGACAAUAUCUACGGUGGAAGUUCGCGCAAGGGUUUAUAUAAGUUGCGCAGAGUUCCUCAUUAACUGAGAUUCUAGCAGUUGUGAACAUGACACCAGUAAAACUUUUUUGGGGGGCACUUUUGGCUCUUAGUGUUGGGAUCGACACUACCUUCUCCUAUGAAGGUUUGGAAUUCCUGCCCCCUUCGGCGCCCGAGAGGGUGCAUUAUGGCUCACUUGACGCGAAGGCGGUAAAGUCAUUGUUCAAGCAAUUCACUUUCGACUAUGGCAAACGAUACGAAAAUCCGAAAGAAGAAGAGGAAAGACUAAAGAUAUUCUCAGAGAAUUUAAAAGUAUAUGACCAGAUGAACCAGGAGGAAAAAGGAACUGCCGUUUACGGGAUCAGCGAGUUCUCCGACAUGACAGAGGAGGAAUUCAGAAAUAAGAUGCUGACACUAGACAUAAUGCCAUGAAAAUCAGCUGGGUGAUCACCAUUAUGAUGAUUCAGAACUGAAAAACGUGAAAGCUCCCAAAAAUUUUGACUGGAGACAGAAAGGAGCAGUCACUCCAAUUAAAAAUCAGGUUUGUAUUACGAUUUUCUCAACUAAGAAUCCUUGUUUCUCACAUUCCUCACUAAGACGGUAACUCAUGAAAUUGUAGAAAUAGGACACUACUAUACGAGAGAAUAAGUUUCAGAGGUCUCCCUGUGAAUUUUGGCAUAAUUUUAAGUGACUUAUGAAUGGAAAAACAGAUAAUCAAACUAGCGCGAUGUACCGUUGAGGUAGGCUUGCUACCUAUCACCUUUUAAAGAUUCCGAGCAGAUAAAAAUUUGAAUUUUUAAAUCGUUCGCAUUUCCGAAUAUUUCCAUAGACGAAUGAAAAUAGUAAGCACAUAAGGACUUUUUUUUUCUUUUUUUUUUGGGCAACACUAAAUUAUAUGGAAGAGAGAGUCGCGGUCCACACAAGGAACAAAAUUGCUCAAGCAGUUUAUAUUUACACCCGUAAAAGAUUUGUCAAAAAGGCAAGAACGAUGUGCGUUACUUUUCGCCUCCCCGCUAUUGUCUUACCCAACUUUUGGGAGCUUUGAGAUGAUACAAACGGAUUAUAUUAAUAUUUUUGAAAAGUUACCAAACAGUUGGCCAUCUUACGUGCGUCAGUUAGGGGAGGAUAUAUGUCAUGUUGGCCAAAGAGGAAUUAUUUUGGGCAAGUAUUUUAUGAAACAUGAGUACCUCAAUUGGACUGCAUUUUGCAAUUUGGACCUAUAAAUUCCGGCCCGGUUUAAAAACAACGUAUGUGCCAUUAGUUUCCCAAUGCACGUAAGUGUUUUUUCAGAUGAGCCAGAAUUUAUAGGUCCAAAUUGCAAAAUGCAGUCCAAAUAACUGUUUACCUUUUUUCCCCCAGGGAUUUUGCGGAUCUUGCUGGGCUUUCUCAGCCGUCUGCAAUAUAGAGGGACUUUACUUCAAUAAGUACAAGAAGCUGUUGAAUUUAUCCGAGCAGCGUAAGUUAACUAUGAUUAACAAGUGAUUUAAUCUAAUUUCAGCAAUAUUUCGGUAUGGUGUAGUGGUCAAAGCAGUUUGUUGUUAGCACUGAUGUCCUGGGUAUGGUACGGCGAUACCCGUUGGUGACGGGUUCUCAAUGUUACUCGAAAAUUUGCCAUCGAGGCAGUGGCGAGGCGUGAAUGAUCGAUUAUCGAUAUCUCGCCAUUUGAAGCUAUGGUAAAGAAUCGAUUACUAAGGUGUUCGCUGCGAACACCCUGAUAAUCGAUCUUUUUUCAUAGGUUUAAAUGGCAAAUCAAUCGAUAUAUCGCAAAGCACGCCACGCCACUGCAUCGAGGCUGCGCUGCCGUGCUAAAGGAAGAACGCCGUAUGAACAUUCGAGAGUUGCCAAAUUUUCCUUGAUAAAACGUGUAUUUUUGACGCAAUUUAAGCAUAUUUUUCCUUGAAAUUUUCAGAUAUUUUAGAUUAAAUUGCGUACAAAAUUGUUAGAAAAUUUUUGGGGAUAAUAUUUAUAAUUUUCCCAGUAAAUUCGGUUUUUUUCGAAGGAAAUUCGGCAACGUCUGAAGGCUCAUACGCUUUUCUUCCUUAGCACGGCAGUAGGUGACCAUAUGCCACUCCAGUGACCUGUUUGGUCUCUUAGCAGGGUGCAAGAGGGACAUGGUCAUCCGGUAGUGGUCCGCGGCCUCCGCGGUGCUCGGCUUAAAGGGAUUCGUGGAACACUCGUAGUGUGCACAAUGGGUCACUAAACCAUGGACGAAUUUUGACUUGCGAAUGUAGUUUUCUGAAGGAAAAUGAUGCGUAGAACACGAUGCGCACAUUAAAAACGCCAACAAGUAACUCAAUAACCGAGAAAUGCGCAGUUCAAAUCGCUCAACUUAUACACAAAUUUAAAACGCCCCGGUUUCGCGCCGCGCCGAAUGAUGUCAUCCGGCACCAAUUAGAAGCGGGCACGGGUCUCUACGACUCCUGUCAAAUGUCUAUGUACUCUUCGUAUAUGAAAACAAUACUAAAGUCGAAAUUAUAUCUUUUGAAUUCAAGACUUAAUUCUUAUUCAUACGUUAGCUGUAAUAAACGAGCAACAAUUCCACAUCGAAACACGUUUUAUUUUAACAAACAUCAAGGAAAAUGAGAGAAGAUUGCGAUAUGACUACCGCAGUGCGUCAACACCGUCAGUUUCCCGCCAUUUGGGCGGUUUGAAAUGUCUUGCAGUUUUAGAUUUUUCAAAAGCGGGUUUCUCCGCGAUUUCGGCUCCAUAAAAAUGAUGAAAAAUCACCACGUUAUCUACUCACAUUGUACUUUCAGAAUAUUCAAUAAAAUAAACAAGGUUUAGUGACCCAUUGUCAGCGUCACCUUUCGGUAGGAGGUUGCAACACGGUAGCCUAACAAUUGGAAACUGCUCCAAAAUGCCGUUUUCGGCAACGUUUGCCACAUUUUACAUACAUAAAAUUAACUGUCGUUGGUUUAUUUGACGGCCGCUGAGCCUUGUGGAAAGAAUAGAUCGCGUUUAGCAGAAGGGAACUAACGCGAUCACAGUGUUUUCUAAAUUGAGAAAAAAAUGUUUGCUUUAAAAAGAUAUCAAAAUAUGCAUCGUAGUACAAUGUAUACGAUAGUUUUCCUGUAAAACUAACAAUUUUUUGGUUGGAAAACAAGAAAUCUAGGUAUUUUAGGCACUAUUUUAGAGAAGAUGAAGAUGCACGAUUUUUAAAUUUCUGCAAUCGCGUUGCCUCCCUCCUGCUAAAUGCAAUCAAAAUGCGAUGCACAGCAGAAUAAACUUAAAUGAAUUCAAAGAUUAGAAGUCUCUAUGAAGCUUUCAUACAUUAUUGCAGUAAGAGCAAUAAAAUAAAACAUAUAAUUAAAGGAACGCCUAUUUUUUCUCACGUCUCUGUUAUAUUUAAGUACUUUAAUGUCACAGAAUCAUUGUAAAAUCAAUUGGGUAUGGCAAAAUUUCAAACUGUUGGAAAGUUAAAUUUCGUUGCUAACGAUGUUCAGUAAUGAAUUUAGAUGAUUUGGACGUGCAGUUUUGACGAAAUUCAAUUUUUUUUGCUCUAGAGAGACUUGAACUUGUUCAGUGAGCGAUCGACAGAUCAUCACAUUAAUUAUUUUAACUUUAAACAUUUUGGCUUGCGUCUUCAGAGAUCGUCGACUGUGACAACACAUCGU
rnacentral:lncRNA from 1 species